rnacentral:rRNA from 1 species
GACGAACGCUGGCGGCGUGCUUAACACAUGCAAGUCGAACGGUGAAGCGCCUUCCUUUUUGGUGGGUGUGGAUGAGUGGCGAACGGGUGAGUAACACGUGAGUAACCUGCCCCCUUCUUCUGGAUAACCGCAUGAAAGUGUGGCUAAUACGGGAUAUUCUGGGUCUGUCGCAUGAUGGGUCUGGGAAAGAUAUUGUUUCGGUGGGGGAUGGGCUCGCGGCCUAUCAGCUUGUUGGUGGGGUGAUGGCCUACCAAGGCGGUGACGGGUAGCCGGCCUGGGGGGUGGACGGUCACACUGGGACUGAGACACGGCCCAGACUCCUACGGGAGGCAGCAGUGGGGAAUAUUGCACAAUGGGCGCAAGCCUGAUGCAGCGACGCCGCGUGAGGGAUGGAGGCCUUCGGGUUGUGAACCUCUUUCGCCAGUGAAGCAGGCCUGCCUCGUUUGUGGGUGGGUUGACGGUAGCUGGAUAAGAAGCGCCGGCUAACUACGUG